AAAAAUCUCACCAUAGAGAAGAUCUGAAGGAGAUGCCUUCUGAGUGCCUGACAAAGCGUUGCCAUUUCAUUGCUAUUCUCCCUCCACACUGUAGAGGAUACAACCAAGGCCCGUUUUUCAAGCCUAGACCCGGCUGGAUGAAAAGCAUUAAAGGGUGUGGACUCAGUCACAUAUGAACUAUAUAUGGCACAGGCAUUUUAUGGCAUAGAUCUGGAGGGAAGCUUCAGAAGACCAUGAACCAACCCCAAAGCCAAUGAAAUCCACUCCCUUCAAAUUGGCAGGCUCACAGCCGAUCCUACAGCAUAUAUAGCACAACUCAGUGCCUAAAAUACAGCUGUGAUGUUUACCUCUGGUGUUUACACACGAAGUGCAAGUACCUGAGAAUGAAGCAGAUUACCUGCAGCGUCGUCUUUCUGCAAUGUUGUCAUGUUUUCAAGCACUGGAAAAGUAUGAUAGAAUCAGCAAGGUUGGAAAAGACCACUAAGAUCACCUAGUCCAAACAUCAACCCUUCCCCACAGUGCGUACUGAACCACGUCCCUCUGUGCCACAUCUGCUUGUUUCUCGAGCACCCCCAGGGGCAGUGACUCCACCAUCUCACUGGGCAGCCUGGUCCAAUAGCUCACCACUCUUUCUGAGGAGAAACCUUUCCUAAUAUCCAGUUUUUCCUAAUAUCUAGCAUCUGGAAUUGUACAGCAAACCUACACAAUGGAAACACGUUCAAAACUUUCCUGAUGGGAUGUCUUCAAAUAAAAGGUAAUAUUUCAUCCUAGGAGCAUGUUUGUUUGGAUCCUUACCCAAGGAAAAUUGGGGAUUUUGAAACUCGGUAUGAGGAAAUGGCAACUAUAUCAAAGGCAGGGCAUGUCUUUGAUAUCCCUGCCUGCUUGUGACUCUGAACAAGGCCUCUGUGACGUCUGAGUUACCUCAAGGAAAUGGGAGCAGCUUUCCAGCGCUUGCUCUUGCCCAUCUGGCUGAGGGGCCUUGUGCUCCUGGCCAGG
ensembl:lncRNA